AGUAAGAUACAGAGCCACCAGAAGAUGGA
rnacentral:piRNA from 1 species